CCGCAACCAAUGCUUUUCACAAUACUCAAAACGAGUGACAUCCAAAACUAACCCAAAAGACAUAGAAUGGCACAGUGGAGAAAACCCUAUCUCUAUUGAAGGCGUUAAAACCUUUGCGCUUUACCUCUAUCAAGCCAAAAAACUUAUCCUCUCCAAGCCCUCUCAAGAUCUUGACAUAGCUCUUGACCCAUUCGAAUUCGAGCUCAUCACUGUUUCACCAGUGACCAAACUCAUCCAAACUUCUCUACACUUUGCCCCAAUUGGGCUGGUGAACAUGCUUAACACUAGUGGAGCCAUCCAAUCUGUGGACUAUGACGAUGACCUAAGCUCAGUCGAGAUUGGUGUCAAAGGGUGUGGUGAGAUGCGA
rnacentral:lncRNA from 1 species